CAAAUACCUCAUAUGGUCCGGCCCGUUGAUAAUAAAACGAAUAUAAUACUAAUAUGGUCCAAUCAUACGCGUACGGUCAGACCAUAUGAGUAUACGCAUAUGGUCAUGACCGCACGCAUAUGGUCCAAAUAUUGAUAUGGUUCGGAACAUAUUCGUAAGUAUUGUAAAACAGAAUAAAAAAAAUCUAAGUACAGCCGUUCAAAUGUCAACUUACGGUGAGAUAAAUAAAAUGUUUAAAUGAACAAGGAACUAGAAUAAUCAUGUAAGGGUUUCUAUAUCCUCGGCAUUGUCAAAUAUCUAGUAUUUCCUCAAAACCAUUUAGGUUUGAGGGGAGUGGUUCUCGAAACAGUAUAUAGGGUAUAGUCCAAGGCACUUCAGAUAAUACUGAAAGCAGUAAAACAAAUAAAAAUAUAAUAAGAAAGAAAAAACAAAAUUUAUUCAAUGCAACAUUCAUCAAGUCAAAACAUUUAAACUACGUUCAGCCAGAUGCAUUUUUUUAAAAUCUUUAAUUCAACAUUUAUAUACAACAGAUAUAUUACAUAUUACUCAAAAAUAUCACAAGAAUGUUUUAAGUAUAAUGACAUAAAUAAUCAACAC
rnacentral:lncRNA from 1 species